rnacentral:lncRNA from 1 species
UUCCACGGUCCUCGCUAGUACCUGAAACACAUAACACAACAACUGUAAGCAUAAAUGCUUAGUGAGUUCCCCAAAAUACCGCAUACAACACAUACGCCACUCAAGGCUAUAAUAUGACCCUCCGGUCGAUGUGUCUCAGCGGAACCCUCCAGUCACGUAGCUCGUUGGACCCUCUGCUCCGGUCAUAGCUCGUUGGGCCCUCCGGCCCGGUCUGUAUUGUUGGACCCUUCGGUCCGGUCUAUAAUAAUCAUAUAACAUACAUAUAACACAUAGCACAUAAUCUCAUACAUAACACAUCAGACCGUCUGGUCAACAUAUAAUACCGCUCUAGGUACGUACAGUGAGAAGACUCACCUCGAGUGUCUCGUUAAGUCUCUGACUCGGUAGGAAUAUGAUCUAGCCUCCGCCUAAUCACAUAAAUUAAAUACUCUCAUAAAUAUAACUAUGCUCAAACCUUUCUUAACACCCUCAGAACGGUAAAAGACCAUUUUACCCCUCUCUUGGCUUAAAGGCCUCAUUGUUGACCAAACCCUAAAAGUCAACAAAAGUCAACGGUCAAACUUUGACCUGACUCGUCGAGUGCACUUGGGCGACUCGGCGAGUCUACACGUGUCCACUANACUAAUUCUUGUCACGCUUGGCACGUCGAGUUCCUCCCCUUGCUCGACGAGUCACCACUGGCCUGAAUCGCGGGGCCACCCCGACUCAACUCGCCAAGUCUCAAGAACAACUCGGCGAGUUCCGCCUUAAACUCAUGUCCUCAAAUCCCCCUCUGACUCAUUGAGUUAUUCCCCCAACUCGGCAAGUCUACCCACUGAGUGGUUUACGGGAAACCCUAACCCUACUCGCCGAGUCUGAGCUAUGGACUCGGUGAGUUCAUGCCAUGCACAAACUCCACAGACCUCCUGAGGUUAGAUCUGUUCCAUUAAUCCAUAGAUCUGACCUUCCCAAGCAUGAUAAUCACGUAAAGUUCAGACCUUGACACUCAAAUAGCAUCUAGAUGGUCUUACUUGGUGAUUUAGUCCUAAAAUAACAUCCUAAGUUCAUGACUCCCAAAAUAACUCCAAAAAGCCACAAGAGUUAAGGUCUCUGUACCACCUUGGGUCCAGAGUUAAAGCAUGAACUCGAGAAGGGACCAAUUGCUCCACAAAUCCAUCCCUAAAGGGGGUUAGAAAAGCCUAACUCUAGGAGUCAACACCAAAACUGAAGAAGGUCCGAAAAAUACCUCAAGAUGAAGUCUAUGAGCUCUGAAAUCACCAGAAUCACACCUCCUUCAGCCUCCUCUUGCCUUGGUUUCCUCCUUCUAGCAAAUACACCAACAAAAUGAUCACAAAUGGCCUCUCCUUCCUCACAAACACUCUAGAUCUCUUAGGGUUUCUCUCUGGGGUUUGGUAGCCGCAAAUGACGGCCCUAAGGGCCUUUAAAUAGGUCCCAAACCCUGGAAAUUAGGGUUUCAUUAAACAGCAUGGACUCGCUGAGUCCACUCAUGAACUCGCUGAGUCCACUCAUGAACUCGCCGAGUCCAGCUGUGAACUCGGAUAAGAAUCUGCGACCAUACUCGGCGAGUCUAAACACCAACUCGCCGAGUCCCGUCUCAACUUCCAAAAAUAAAGGAAUAAAUAUUAUACGUGGGAAUCCGGAUGUUACAAUUCUCCCCCACUAGAAUUAAACUUCGCCCUCGAAGUCUUACUCUGCGAACAACUCUGGAUGCUGCUCCCGCAUCUCACGCUCCGGCUCCCAAGUCAACUCUGACCCUUUCCGAUGUUGCCACUGGAACUGCACCAGAGGCACCUCCUUGUUCCUCAAAACCUUGAUAUUCCGAUCCCUAAUCGCCACCGGUCUCUCAACAUACUUCAGGCUCGCAUCCACCUGAAUAUCUUCUAAUGGCACCACCGCCGACUCGUCGGCUAUACACUUUCGCAGCUGCGACACGUGGAAAGUGUCAUGAAUCUGACCCAAUUCUACAGGUAAUUCCAAACGGUAGGCUACCCUACCCACCCUCGCGAUCACCCUGAAAGGACCAAUAUAUCGGGGCCCCAACUGGCCCCUCUUCUUGAAACGUAUCACUCCUUUCCAAGGAGAGACCUUCAGGACCACGAAGUCGUCGACCUGAAAUUCGAGUUCGGACCGGCGCCUGUCCGCAUAACUCUUCUGAGGACUCUGAGCGAUCAACAACCUCUAUCUGACCUGCUGAAUCUGCUCUGUCGUCUGAAGCACGAUCUCGGUACUACCCAUCACACGCUGCCCUACUUCUCCCCAGCAAAUGGGGGUCCGACACCUCCUCCCAUACAACAGCUCAAAGGGUGGCAUACCAAUGAUCGAAUGAUGGUUUUUGUUGUAGGAAAACUCUGCCAAGGGAAAGUACGUGUCCCAACUCUCAUCGAAAUCCAACACACAUGCUCGGAGCAUGUCCUCGAGCGUCUGAAUCGUCCGCUCACUCUGCCCGUCAGUCUGUGGGUGGUAUGCGGUACUAAAAUGCAGUCUCGUACCCAAUUCCUCAUGAAACUUCUUCCAGAAUUUGGAAGUGAAGUGUACAUAUCGAUCUGAGACAAUUGAGAUCGGCACUCCAUGCCGCGAUACCACCUNUUUGUUGUAGGAAAACUCUGCCAAGGGAAAGUACGUGUCCCAACUCUCAUCGAAAUCCAACACACAUGCUCGGAGCAUGUCCUCGAGCGUCUGAAUCGUCCGCUCACUCUGCCCGUCAGUCUGUGGGUGGUAUGCGGUACUAAAAUGCCGUCUCGUACCCAAUUCCUCAUGAAACUUCUUCCAGAAUUUGGAAGUGAAGUGUACAUAUCGAUCUGAGACAAUUGAGAUCGGCACUCCAUGCCGCGAUACCACCUCUCUCACGUACAUCUCUACCAACCUCUCUGCGGAAGAGCUCUCACUUAUAGCAAGGAAAUGAGCGCUCUUUGUCAACCUGUCCACAAUCACCCAAAUUGCAUCGACACCUCUCGCAGUCCUUGGCAAUUUGGUGAUGAAAUCCAUGGUAAUCUGUUUGACUGUUCCCAUUUUCACUCGGGAAUCUCUAACGGCUGCAGCUUACCAUGUGGACGUUGGUCCUCGGCCUUAACCCUGCGACAGGUCAAGCAUCUCUCUACAAACCAUGCGACGUCCCACUUCAUACAGGGCCACCAAUACUCCCUUUUCAGGUCCAAAUACAUCUUAGUGGCCCCGGGAUGGAUCGAUAACUUCGAUCGAUGAGUCUCUUCCAUCAAAAUGGUACGCGUCCCGCCCACAGACGGUACCCAAAUCCGACCCUGGAAUGUCAUGAGCCCCCGGCUAUAGGUAACGAAUUCCGAUACCAGCCCGCCAACUCGCUCUCUCUUCUAGCUCUCUGGCCUCAGCCUCAGCCCCACGAAUAGCGUCCAACACCAGGGUCAUCACUGUCAAUCUCAAACAAACAUCUCGCAUUGGGGCCCCCUACGCCCUACGGCUCAGCGCAUCGGCUACAACAUUAGCCUUGCCCAGGUGGUACAGGAUCUCACAAUCAUAAUCCUUGACCACAUCCAACCACCUCCUCUGGCGCAUAGUCAGGUUGGACUGGUCCAUCAAAUACUUCAAGGUCUUGUGGUACGUAUAUAUCAUACACCGAACCCCAUACAGAUAGUGUCGCCAGAUCUUGAGGGCGAACACUACCGCUCCCAAUUCCAAAUCAUGAGUGGGAUACCUCAACUCAUACGGCUUAAGCUGCCUCGAUUCAUAUGCUAUCACAUGCCCCUCUGCAUAAGCACCGCCCCCAAUCCGGAUAUCGAUGCAUCACAAUAUACCAUGAAAUCCUCCAUCCCUUCUGGAAGGACUAACAUUGGAGCUUCGCAUAAUUUCUGACGAAGUGUCUCGAACGAGGUCUGCUGCUCCGGACCCCAAGAAAAUGCAGCACCCUUCCGGGUCAACUUGGUGAGUGGCACGAUGAUCUUGGAGAAAUCCUUAAUAAAUAUCCGAUAAUAGCUGGCCAAACCUAGAAAACUCCUGAUCUCGGUGGGUGAUCUCGGCACCUCCCACCUCAUGACCGCCUCAAUCUUGGACGGAUCAACGAAUAUCCCAUUCUGGUUGACGAGAUGCCCCAAAAACUGAACCUCUCGUAACUAGAACCAAAAUAUCAUCAAUGAAUACGAUCACCGACCGAUCCAGCAUCGGUCUGCACACCUUGUUCAUGAGAUCCAUGAACGCAGCUGGUGCAUUGGUGAGCCCAAAAGGCAUCACCAUGAACUCGUAAUGCCCAUAGCGAGUUCUGAACGCUGUCUUCUGGAUAUCUUCAUCCCGAACCCUCAUCUGAUGAUAACCCAACCUCAAGUCUAUCUUGGAGAACCAAGACGCUCCCUGCAACUGAUCGAACAAAUCAUCGAUCCUCGGCAACGGAUAACGGUUCUUGACCGUUAGCUUGUUCAACUCCCGAUAGGCAAUGCACAUCCGAUGCGAACCAUCCUUUUUCUUGACAAAAAGGAUCGGCGCUCCCCAAGGUGAGCUACUCGGUCGAAUAAACCCCUUCCCCAACAGCUCCUGAAGCUGUGAGGAUAACUCCUGCAUCUCUGGCGGCGUGAGGCGAUAAGGCGCCUUGGCGAUAGGUGCUGCUCCCGGAACCAAAUCGAUACGGAACUCCACUUGCCUCUCGGGAGGCACACCCGGUAGAUCCUCGGGAAAAACAUCCAGAAACUCGCACACUAUCGGAACCUCGUCAAUCGAACUUGGCCUCUCAAUGGCCACUCGCGUGUCUGACACAUAGGCUACGAAUCCACCGCAGCCUUGCUGCAAACUCUGCCUCGCCCUGGCGGCUGAACAAAACGCUGGCCCACAUCAAGUUCCCUCACCAAACACUAUAAGUACUCCCCCACUAGGGUCUCAAAUCGUCACCAACUGACACUCACAGUCUAUCACAGCUCCAUAUCGGCUCAACCAAUCCAUACCCACUAUAACACACACAUCCCCCAUCGCAAUCGGAACCAGAUCUAUCGGAAACUCCACAUCGAAGAUCUCAAGGACACAUCCUCUAAUGACAUCUGUAGCAUACACUGCUCGCUCAUCAGCUAUGGAAACUUGCAGAGGUCGACCCAAUGCCUCUCGACGGAUACUAAUGUGCUGACUAAAUGCUACGGAAACAAACGACCGACUCACACCCGAGUCAAAUAAUACCAAGGAAGGCACAUAACUCACAAGAAAAGUACCUACGCAUAUCAUCGUAUAAGCAAAAUAACUCAACUCAAAUAAAAGAUGAAUAUAGAAUACAUAACAACCACAACAUCGGGCGUCGCGCGUACCUCCUCCGCAGUCAACUGGAAAGCUCUCCCACGAGCCUUCGGUGCCUCGGCCUUCACUGGCCAAAUCUCUGUAGCCCUAGCAGUAGGCACAGAUCCCUGUGCUGAUCCCUGAAGUACUGAGGGCACUCGGCCUUCUGAUGGCCGGUCUGGUUGCAAUGAAAGCAAACCGAAAAUCCCUUGGGGCAAUCCCUCGCGAUAUGCCCCUCCUUCCCACACUUGAAGCAUACUUCAACCCUGCACGACUCCUCAUGAAUCUUACUUCAAUUCCCACAAGUGCGUCCCUUCGCGCCCCCAAAUCUCGAAUCAGCGGGUCUAGCCUGCUUGGCAGCCGGCUGAGACUGAGCCGGUCGCCGAUCCACCCUCUGUGACUCGGCCUCCUCCCUGGCCUGAGUCUCCAACCCAAUCUCCCUCUUCCGGGAAUUUGCCUGGAUCUCAGCAAAUGUUCGGUAAGUCGAGUUCGCCACGAACUCCCAAAUAUCUCUCCUUAGAACACCUAGAUAACGGCUCAUACGAGCCUGCUCAGAAGACACCUUCUUAGGGUAAAACAUCGCCCUCUCAUGAAACUUCCUGGUGAUCACUGCCACAGAAUCAGUACCCUACUUGAGGUUCAAGAACUCCUGAAUCAACCGUUCCCUCUCCACCGGGGGAACAUACUCAUCUCUGAACAUAGCGGUGAACCUCUCCCAGGUCACCUCAGAAAUCUCAGCCAAAGUGAAGUUCGCCGUCACGAACUUCCACCAAUCCUUUGCUCCCAAGCGGAGCUGGUUUAGGGUGAACCGUACCCUCAAGUGCUCUCGAAAAGAACACGUAUAUAAACAUCCCUCGAUAUAAGAGAUCCAUCUCAUCGCAGCAAUUGGUCCUGCGUCCGAUCGAACUCUGGUGGCUUCGUGUUGCUGAACUCUCGAAACAACAACGAGUCACCUCCCUGAGGUCUGGCAGCAGCGACAACAGCCGUUGNGCACCAGUAGCUGCAGCUGCCGCAGCCUCAGUCAGUGCUGCAUACCGCUCAUCAAGGGUCUCAAUCAAUGUGGUCUUGAUGUCCCCAAACAUCUUUGGAAUCUCAGCCCGGAUGGCAGCAACCACCUCCUCAUAAAUCAAUCGACGGAUCUCCUCGUCGCUGACACCACUGCUCUCAGGUGUGUGUCGUGUCCCAACCAUGAUGCCUCUGAAAUACAACAAUAAAUAUCAGAGACUCGAUCGAGCAUACUCAUACUCGAUGACGCAACCCUACUCGUCCUCCGUUGUCCAAAAGAUUCUUACUUGGAAUGCCCACUGAUCCGGUGUCUUCAGUAGUACGGGCCCAAUACUACUGACCACACCGCAUCAGCAUUCACUCCAAGUCCUCCUCCUUGGAUCCUGGAUUACAAGUACUAUACUCUCAUUAUGCAUUGGCUACCCUCCGAUAGACCUCUCAUGAGCUCCUAACUGCUAUCUACUCGCUCUCAAAGCAUCUCAGCAGCAGAAAUCUCCUAGGCUAAGGCAUCACAAAUCAGGCCACUCUAGUCCUAAUAUGAAUACCUAGCCUACUCUAGCAUGCAUAAUGUAACAUAGCAUAUCUCAUAACACAUAAUGUAAGGGUACUUUUGGGGAUUCACCGUUCGGGCGCUGGCUGAUCGUACACACGGCUCUGCUCUGUUUGUCUCAAAACUCUUUUUACUCUUUUCAAAAAUUUUACUUCAUUAUCAAAAAUUUUCCUCAAAUCCUCAGUUUGAGUUCAGAUACGCCCGAAGAUGCAUCCGAAUCCCUCAAACCAAGGCUCUGAUACCAACUUGUAACAACGUAAAUUUCAAAACAAAAUUUUCAUUUUUCAUCAACCAAGUUCAUAUAAAAACAUUCUCAAAUAUUUCCAACAUUAGUUUUUGAAACAUAACAUAUCCCAAGAUCAUAAAAUCAAACUCUCUCUCUAGUGUGUACGAGUCACGCCGGCGCCUUCCCACGGUCCUCGCUAGUACCUGAAACACAUAACACAACAACUGUAAGCAUAAAUGCUUAGUGAGUUCCCCAAAAUACCGCAUACAACACAUACGCCACUCGAGGCUAUAAUACGACCCUCCGGUCGAUGUGUCUCAGCGGGACCCUCCAGUCCCGUAGCUCGUUGGACCCUCUGGUCCGGUCAUAGCUCGUUGGACCCUCCGGUCUGGUCUAUAACAUCAUACAACAUACAUAUAUCACAUAGCACAUAAUCUCAUACGUAACACAUAAGACCCUCUGGUCAACACAUAAUACCACUCUAGGUAACGUAUAGUGAGAAGACUCACCUCAGGUGUCUCGGUAAGUCUCUGACUCGGUAGAAAUAUGAUCUAGCCUCCGCCUAAUCACAUAAAGUAAAUACUCUCAUAAAUAUAACUAUGCUCAAACCUUUCUUAACACCCUCAGAAGGGUAAAAGACCAUUUUACCCCUCUU